rnacentral:snRNA from 1 species
GUACUUACCAGCAGGGGUACCAUGGUCAUGAAGUGGGGUUUCCCAGGGUGAGGCUUAUCCAUUGCACUCCAGAUGUAGUGAACCUCGAUGUCCCCAAAUGCGGGGACCCUGACUGCAUAAUCUGUAGUAGUGGGGGACUGCGUUCACACUCUACAU